rnacentral:rRNA from 1 species
UACGUAGGGGGCAAGCGUUGUCCGGAUUUAUUGGGCGUAAAGAGCGUGUAGGCGGUUUGGUAGGUCCGCUGUGAAAACUCGAGGCUCAACCUCGAGACGCCGGUGGAAACCAUCAGGCUAGAGUCCGGAAGAGGAGAGUGGAAUUCCUGGCGUAGCGGUGAAAUGCGCAGAUAUCAGGAAGAACACCCGUGGCGAAGGCGGCUCUCUGGGACGGUACUGACGCUGAGACGCGAAAGCGUGGGGAGCGAACAGG